AUUGAACGCUGGCGGCAGGCUUAACACAUGCAAGUCGAGCGGGGUGAUGGUGCUUGCACUAUCACUUAGCGGCGGACGGGUGAGUAAUGCUUAGGAAUCUGCCUAUUAGUGGGGGACAACAUCUCGAAAGGGAUGCUAAUACCGCAUACGUCCUACGGGAGAAAGCAGGGGAUCACUUGUGACCUUGCGCUAAUAGAUGAGCCUAAGUCGGAUUAGCUAGUUGGUGGGGUAAAGGCCUACCAAGGCGACGAUCUGUAGCGGGUCUGAGAGGAUGAUCCGACACACUGGGACUGGAACACGGCCAAGACUCCUACGGGAGGCAGCAGUGGGGAAUAUUGGACAAUGGGGGGAACCCUGAUCCAGCCAUGCCGCGUGUGUGAAGAAGGCCUUAUGGUUGUAAAGCACUUUAAGCGAGGAGGAGGCUCUUUUGGUUAAUACCCAAGAUGAGUGGACGUUACUCGCAGAAUAAGCACCGGCUAACUCUGUGCCAGCAGCCGCCGUAA
rnacentral:rRNA from 1 species